CACUGUCCUGGUGGCACUCACGAGUAACGGGGGAGGGUCGUCUGAUAGGACGUUACAACAGAUCUCUUUAACCUCGCGGUUUGCCGUGCUGAAAGCGUGGUUUUGAGCCCCCGAUUACGAUACAAGGCUGUACAACAUAGCUGCAUAUACAAGAGUUCCAGCAAAGGCGCCACAACGGUAUCUAGCGUUCGACGACGCCCUUGCAACAAUUUGUGAUCUCAACUGAAAAGUUUUCCGAACUACGAUGGCUGCAAUACACACUUUACCAGAAAAGCACACAAUACGGGCACUGCUGCUGGCCGUCUGUAUAAGUAUUUCACUAUCAGGUUCUAGUGCGCAGACUCCAGGCGCAGGAACCACGCCCGUAGU